rnacentral:rRNA from 1 species
GACGAACGCUGGCGGCGUGCUUAACACAUGCAAGUCGAACGGAAAGGCCCUGCUUUUGUGGGGUGCUCGAGUGGCGAACGGGUGAGUAACACGUGAGUAACCUGCCCUUGACUUUGGGAUAACUUCAGGAAACUGGGGCUAAUACCGGAUAGGAGCUCCUGCCGCAUGGUGGGGGUUGGAAAGUUUCGGCGGUUGGGGAUGGACUCGCGGCUUAUCAGCUUGUUGGUGGGGUAGUGGCUUACCAAGGCUUUGAAGGGUAGCCGGCCUGAGAGGGUGACCGGCCACAUUGGGACUGAGAUACGGCCCAGACUCCUACGGGAGGCAGCAGUGGGGAAUAUUGCACAAUGGGCGGAAGCCUGAUGCAGCAACGCCGCGUGCGGGAUGACGGCCUUCGGGUUGUAAACCGCUUUCGCCUGUGACGAAGCGUGAGUGACGGUAAUGGGUAAAGAAGCACCGGCUAACUACGUGCCAGCAGCCGCGGUGAUACGUAGGGUGCGAGCGUUGUCCGGAUUUAUUGGGCGUAAAGGGCUCGUAGGUGGUUGAUCGCGUCGGAAGUGUAAUCUUGGGGCUUAACCCUGAGCGUGCUUUCGAUACGGGUUGACUUGAGGAAGGUAGGGGAGAAUGGGAUUCCUGGUGGAGCGGUGGAAUGCGCAGAUAUCAGGAGGAACACCAGUGGCGAAGGCGGUUCUCUGGGCCUUUCCUGACGCUGAGGAGCGAAAGCGUGGGGAGCGAACAGGCUUAGAUACCCUGGUAGUCCACGCUGUAAACGGUGGGUACUAGGUGUGGGGUCCAUUCCACGGGUUCCGUGCCGUAGCUAACGCUUUAAGUACCCCGCCUGGGGAGUACGGCCGCAAGGCUAAAACUCAAAGGAAUUGACGGGGCCCCGCACAAGCGGCGGAGCAUGCGGAUUAAUUCGAUGCAACGCGUAGAACCUUACCUGGGUUUGACAUGGAUCGGGAGUGCUCAGAGAUGGGUGUGCCUCUUUUGGGGUCGGUUCACAGGUGGUGCAUGGCUGUCGUCAGCUCGUGUCGUGAGAUGUUGGGUUAAGUCCCGCAACGAGCGCAACCCUUGUUCACUGUUGCCAGCACGUUAUGGUGGGGACUCAGUGGAGACCGCCGGGGUCAACUCGGAGGAAGGUGGGGAUGACGUCAAGUCAUCAUGCCCCUUAUGUCCAGGGCUUCACGCAUGCUACAAUGGCUGGUACAGAGAGUGGCGAGCCUGUGAGGGUGAGCGAAUCUCGGAAAGCCGGUCUCAGUUCGGAUUGGGGUCUGCAACUCGACCUCAUGAAGUCGGAGUCGCUAGUAAUCGCAGAUCAGCAACGCUGCGGUGAAUACGUUCCCGGGGCU